rnacentral:rRNA from 1 species
UACGGAGGGGGCAAGCGUUGUUCGGAAUUACUGGGCGUAAAGGGCGCGUAGGCGGCCUUCUAAGUCGAACGUGAAAUCCCCGGGCUCAACCCGGGAACUGCGUCCGAUACUGGAAGACUUGAGUCCGGGAGAGGGAUGUGGAAUUCCAGGUGUAGCGGUGAAAUGCGUAGAUAUCUGGAGGAACACCGGUGGCGAAGGCGGCAUCCUGGACCGGCAUUGACGCUGAGGAGCGAAAGCCAGGGGAGCAAACAGG